GUGGUCACUUCGCCAGCACGUAUACCAAAAUUGGAAUGAUACGAAGAUUAGCAUGGCCCCCGCGCAAGGAUGACAAUUUUUUUUCUUUUCUUUUUUUUU
ensembl:snRNA U6 U6 spliceosomal RNA